UAACUAUCACCAGAACACAG
rnacentral:misc_RNA from 1 species